rnacentral:rRNA from 1 species
AGUAACGCGUGGGCAACCUGCCUUAUACAGGGGGAUAACAGCUGGAAACAGCUGCUAAUACCGCAUAAGCGCACAGCGGCGCAUGACGCAGUGUGAAAAACUGAGGUGGUAUAAGAUGGGCCCGCGUCUGAUUAGCUGGUUGGGAGGGUAACGGCCUACCAAGGCGACGAUCAGUAGCCGGCCUGAGAGGGCGGACGGCCACAUUGGGACUGAGACACGGCCCAGACUCCUACGGGAGGCAGCAG